UUGAGAUUUUAACACGAAGUGAGUGGCGAACGGGUGAGUAACACGUGGGUAACCUGCCCAGAAGUAGGGGAUAACACCUGGAAACAGAUGCUAAUACCGUAUAACAGAGAAAACCGCAUGGUUUUCUUUUAAAAGAUGGCUCUGCUAUCACUUCUGGAUGGACCCGCGGCGUAUUAGCUAGUUGGUGAGGUAAAGGCUCACCAAGGCAGUGAUACGUAGCCGACCUGAGAGGGUAAUCGGCCACAUUGGGACUGAGACACGGCCCAGACUCCUACGGGAGGCAGCAGUAGGGAAUCUUCCACAAUGGACGCAAGUCUGAUGGAGCAACGCCGCGUGAGUGAAGAAGGGUUUCGGCUCGUAAAGCUCUGUUGUUAAAGAAGAACGUGGGUAAGAGUAACUGUUUACCCAGUGACGGUAUUUAACCAGAAAGCCACGGCUAACUACGUGCCAGCAGCCGCGGUAAUACGUAGGUGGCAAGCGUUAUCCGGAUUUAUUGGGCGUAAAGCGAGCGCAGGCGGUCUUUUAAGUCUAAUGUGAAAGCCUUCGGCUCAACCGAAGAAGUGCAUUGGAAACUGGGAGACUUGAGUGCAGAAGAGGACAGUGGAACUCCAUGUGUAGCGGUGAAAUGCGUAGAUAUAUGGAAGAACACCAGUGGCGAAGGCGGCUGUCUGGUCUGCACUGACGCUGAGGCUCGAAAGCUGGGUAGCGAACAGGAUAGAUCCGUGGUAGUCCUGCCGUAACGAUGAUUACUAAUGUUGGAGGGUUCCGCCCUUCAGUGCUGCACUACGCAUUAGUAAUCCGCCGGGGAGUACGACCGCAGGUUGAAACUCAAAGAUUGACGGGGGCCGCACAGCGGUGGACCUGUGGUUAAUUCGAGCUACCGAAAACCUUACAGGUCUUGACUCUUCUGAAGUCUAGAGAUAGAGGUCCCUUCGGGACAGAUGACAGGUGUGCAGGUUGUCUCAGCUCUGUCGGAAAGUUGGUUAAUUCCGCAACAAGGCAACCUUAUACUAUUGCCGCAUUACUUGGGCCUCUAUGAGAUGCCGGGACAACCGGAGGAGGGGGGACGCCUCAAUCAUAUGCCCUUUGACGGGGUACCCCGGCUCAAUGAUGGACACGAUCCCGGACCGGUUAGCUAUCUUAAACCUUUCCGUGGGAGGGGGGGGCAUCCCCACCAAUUCGAAUCCUUUACACCGGAAACAUCCCGGGGAAAAUUCCCGGGCUUUAAACCCCCGCCCCCUGAAAUUUA
rnacentral:rRNA from 1 species